AUAAAAAGUAAGGGUGGUUACCUAACAAACCGAACCAGGUGGCCAGUGUGUGUUGCUGCCAUGUCAUCGGAGUAUCCAUAACAGCAGAUCUGGUAGGCAAGGGAAGUAGAUCUGGUUUGGGCGAUUUGGAAUGAAUGUACAGGAAGAUCUGGAUUAAAGGAAUAGAGUUGAUUUCUAGGGAGAAAAAAGAUAGGCGUGAUUUUGAUGAAAUAUCAGUUUUGGCAACUAGAAUGGGAUUGUAUAGAUCUGAUUUGGACGAAAGACGGCCCCAGAGGGAGGUAGAUAUCUUGCUCUGUGAUUUCUUUUCGCAACUUUCAAUAGAUGAUGUCCCUUGGUUUGUUGAUUCGCUGGGAGCCGCUCUUGUGGUUUUGCAGUUUAUGUUUGUUUUGUUCUGCUGAUUGUAGUUUUUGUUGUUGUGUUUCUUUUCUCUGUUUUUGGGUUGUAUCUUUUUCUUUGGUUAGAGCUCUAGCUCCACCUUUCUUUGUUUUCCUGCUUUCCCCUUUCUUGGCCCUUCUUGUGCCUUGAUCGGUGGCUUAAUAAAUUGUUUGCAUUUCAAAAAAA